UCCAUGUCAGGAGGUACCUCAGGACUGCACCCGCGGGCUCCAAUUUCAAUAAAUCAACACAGCGUGCGGGGCAACGGUAGCACAAAGUCCUGCUCCCCCUGCAGAACCCGGCCAGUCAGCCCCUCUCCUCUGGUGUCACUUUGUUACUGGAUUGCACCAGAAGCUCCAACUCCAGACAUUAUCCCGAAGGAUAAAGAGAAAAGCCAGGGUUUGGAGCCCUUGGAACUCAGCGCUGAGAAGGAGAGAGUUGCAGGUGGGAUUUUGGCAAGUUCUGAGUGAGAGAAAUGGGGAUUAUUCCAGUCACAACCAGCACGUCCAAGUGGUCACUGGGUCUGACCCAUCCUGGAAGCCACACACCAGUGGGAGAUGUCCCACAGCCGGUGACCCUGAGCGCUCCAGAAACGCAGCAGGGAAAAGUGGAGACUUCAGGAUCCAACUGUUCCAUAAAAAAAAGCAGCCAGCCCAAAUUUGGCCACGGGCUCGUCCUUCAGGAAUGCCUGCACGCAGCACUCAGUGCCCUGGCCGGUGACAAGGUGAUGCUCAAGGUUCCUAAGGUUGGCUCAGUGAUCUUGGAUUUUGGGAUUCCAGGAUUUUGGGGAGCGACCGAACACAACUCGUAGGAAAUUUGGUUUUUUUCUGUGCAGCAUUUCUGCACAGACACAAACUUUCCCUGUUUGUGACCCCUCAGCUAUUUGUUGGGAUUAAAUUCCAUCUUUAGCUUGCCACAUAAAACACCUCGGAGACUUUGUGCCUUCCAUAGAAUAUUCCAGAAGGCAGAUUCUCACCCACACAGCGCCCUCCAAGUGCACCCCAACCCCAAAAGAGAGCUGCUAGAACCUCUCUGCUAGAGAUUAACAUAUUCCCAAGCUCAUGCAUUAAUUAAAAUAAAAUUAACACGCCCGUAAAUAAAACUCCUGAACAGAACUGGCCACCAAAACAUCUUCAGUUCAGCACAGCCAGCAAUUUCUUCCUAUAUUUAGGGAAAAAUUAGUUAUAGAGCUGACCACUGCUUUGUGUUAAUAACAACAUUCCCAAGGAUUGGGAAGGAACUGGCAAAUCUGGGAAGCCCCUCGGGGUGGGAUGGGCAGGAGAAUCAGUGGCUUCGCUCUGGAUGGAGGAGCCAGUGUGGAAAAACGUGCAGAGAGAUAAUUUUAAUUGGAUUUAAGAGCUGGGACCACUUCAGAUGCCUGAAGUGCAGAUCUCCCACCUCACAGAUGCCAUCCAGGACCAAACAAAGCUCAUGGGGAAAUAAUUUUUUCCAAAAAGAAGGAAUAUUGGGAAUGCCGGUGUUGGAGAGCGAGGCCAAAGGCAGGGAGCUCCUCCCAUGGCCUCUCCCUAAAAACACAGCUCAGGUGGAAAACAGCAGCUGCUGAAGAGGAGGAGGAAUUACUGCAAGGAACUCAGGAUAAGUUGCCACAGUCAGUGGAAAGGAAAGUGCCCAGGGCAUGGAAUU